rnacentral:rRNA from 1 species
GACGAACGCUGGCGGCGCGCUUAACACAUGCAAGUCGAGCGAAGCGGCGGACGGGUGAGUAACACGUGAGUAACAUGCCUUAGACAUUGGGAUAGCCUCGGGAAACCGGGAUUAAUACCAAAUGGUCUAAGAUGGACUCGCGUCCCAUUAGCUAGUUGGUGAGGUAACGGCCCACCAAGGCGACGAUGGGUAGCCGGCCUGAGAGGGUGAACGGCCACAUUGGAACGGAGAAACGGUCCAAACUCUACGGGAGGCAGCAGUGGGGAAUAUUGCACAAUGGAGGGAACUCUGAUGCAGCGACGCCGCGUGAACGAAGAAGGCUUUCGAGUCGUAAAGUUCUUUAGACAGGGACGCGGUACCUGUAGAAUAAGCCACGGCUAACUACGUGCCAGCCGCCGCGGUAAUUC